rnacentral:rRNA from 1 species
CCUACGUGAGGCAGCAGUGCGGAAUAUUGGUCAAUGGACGCAAGUCUGCCCCAGCCAUGCCGCGUGCAGGAAGACGGCUCUCUGAGUUGUAAACUGCUUUUGUACGUGGGUAAACGCAGAUACGCGUAUCUGUCUGAAAGUAUCGUACGAUUAAGGAUCGGCUAACUCCGUGCCAGCAGCCGCGGUAAUACGGAGGAUUCAAGCGUUAUCCGGAUUUAUUGGGUUUAACGGGUGCUUAGGCGGUCGGAUAAGUUAGAGGUGAAAUCCCGAGGCUCAACUUCGGCAUUGCCUCUGAUACUGUUCGGCUAGAGAUUAGUUGCGGUAGGCGGAAUGUAUGGUGUAGCGGUGAAAUGCUUAGAGAUCAUACAGAACACCGAUUGCGAAGGCAGCUUACCAAGCUACGUCUGACGUUGAGGCACGAAAGCGUGGGGAGCAAACAGGAUUAGAUACCCGAGUAGUC